AUUGUAAUAUUUUCAUGAAAUAUAAAUAUAAUGCACUUUCUAAUAAAUCAUAUUCCUCAGAUUGGAAU
rnacentral:tRNA from 1 species